rnacentral:rRNA from 1 species
GACGAACGCUGGCGGCGUGCUUAACACAUGCAAGUCGAACGGUGAUGCUCCAGCUUGCUGGAGUGGAUCAGUGGCGAACGGGUGAGUAACACGUGAGCAACCUGCCCCAGACUCUGGAAUAAGCGCUGGAAACGGCGUCUAAUACUGGAUACGAAACUGGCCCGCAUGGGCAUGGUUUGGAAAGUUUUUCGGUUUGGGAUGGGCUCGCGGCCUAUCAGCUUGUUGGUGAGGUAAUGGCUCACCAAGGCGACGACGGGUAGCCGGCCUGAGAGGGCGACCGGCCACACUGGGACUGAGACACGGCCCAGACUCCUACGGGAGGCAGCAGUGGGGAACAUUGCACAAUGGGCGAAAGCCUGAUGCAGCGACGCCGCGUGAGGGAUGACGGCCUUCGGGUUGUAAACCUCUUUCAGCAGGGAAGAAGCGAAAGUGACGGUACCUGCAGAAGAAGCACCGGCUAACUACGUG